ACGCACGCUGGCGGCGUGCUUCACACCUGCAAGUCGCACGGAAAGGCCCUGCUUGCAGGGUACUCGAGUGGCGAACGGGUGAGUAACACGUGGGUGAUCUGCCCUGCACUUCGGGAUAAGCCUGGGAAACUGGGUCUAAUACCGGAUAGGAGCCAUUUUUAGUGUGAUGGUUGGAAAGUUUUUUCGGUGUAGGAUGAGCUCGCGGCCUAUCAGCUUGUUGGUGGGGUAAUGGCCUACCAAGGCGGCGACGGGUAGCCGGCCUGAGAGGGUGGACGGCCACAUUGGGACUGAGAUACGGCCCAGACUCCUACGGGAGGCAGCAGUGGGGAAUAUUGCACAAUGGGCGCAAGCCUGAUGCAGCGACGCCGCGUGGGGGAUGACGGCCUUCGGGUUGGAAACUCCUUUCGCUAGGGACGAAGCUUUUUGUGACGGUACCUAGAUAAGAAGCACCGGCUAACUACGUG
rnacentral:rRNA from 1 species